UAAAAGGUAAGGAAAAGGGACCCAUGAAGAGAUCAAAAGGAAGUUUAGGCAGCUUGAAUAUGCUUAUGGGCAAGGAUAACAGUGAGCCGGGUAAAACAUCUGGAGCAUCUGGGAAUGGAUUUGUCUCCCAAAGUGGUGACAGUGCAAGUGAAGGUUCCAGUGAAGGAAGUGCAUAUAUGGAAGUUUUCAACUUCAGUAAAAGACGAGUGCAUAUAUGACUUUGUGAGUCUAAUGCCUUUUUAGAAAUGCAAUUUUAGUUGGAGCAUAUGCAUAAAGCAUCAUUGUGACUGUUUUGGAUGUAAACACUACCCAGACAUUUCGUAUUCAUAAUUUCCACUCAUCAUGUGCAUGACACACAACAGAAGGCAAGCGGUGGGAAAGAUUCUUUGGAAGCUGAUGCGUCUAAGAAUGGGAGUUCCGUCCGUGGUCCUCAAAAUGGUGUGGCUCGCAGUCCAUCACAAACAAUGUUGAAUCAAACAAUGCCUGUCAUGCCAAUGGCAGCACUUGUGUAAGUUGCAUGCUUGUAUGGUUAAGCCUCGGUACGGAAUUAUUUACUGGCACUCUCAUGCGGAAAACUUCAUUCUUGUUAUGCUUUUCUGUAUAU